GACCAACCCAAGGUAAUACACUACUGCUCUAAUAACACUGACCACCCCAAGGUAAUAUACUACUGCUCUAAUAACACUGACCACCCCAAGGUAAUAUACUACUGCUCUAAUAACACUGACCACCCCAAGGUAAUACACUACUGCUCUAAUAACACUGACCACCCCAAGGUAAUAUACUACUGCUCUAAUAACACUGACCACCCCAAGGUAAUAUACUACUGCUCUAAUAACACUGACCACAGUGUAAGGAGUAGGACUGAUUCUCUGUGUUGUUCAUACUCUAGGUUCUCCACACUCAACUGGUGAACCAGCACUGACCACCGAGUAAGAGAUGAUAACUACUAUG
ensembl:lncRNA